rnacentral:rRNA from 1 species
UACAGAGGGCCCAAGCGUUGUUCGGAUUCACUGGGCGUAAAGGGUGCGUAGGUGGCUGGGUAAGUUUGAUGUGAAAUCUCCGAGCUUAACUCGGAAACUGCAUUGAAUACUAUCCUGCUCGAGGAUUGGAGGGGGGACUGGAAUUCUCGGUGUAGCAGUGAAAUGCGUAGAUAUCGAGAGGAACACCAGUGGCGAAGGCGAGUCCCUGGACAAUACCUGACACUGAGGCACGAAAGCUAGGGGAGCAAACAGG